AGCGAACGCUGGCGGCAGGCCUAAACAUGCAAGUCGAACGCCCGUAGCAAUACGGGAGUGGCAGACGGGUGAGUAACACGUGGGAACGUGCCCUUUGGUUCGGAACAACACAGGGAAACUUGUGCUAAUACCGGAUAAGCCCUUACGGGGAAAGAUUUAUCGCCAGAGGAUCGGCCCGCGUCUGAUUAGCUAGUUGGUGAGGUAACGGCUCACCAAGGCUACGAUCAGUAGCUGGUCUGAGAGGAUGAUCAGCCACACUGGGACUGAGACACGGCCCAGACUCCUACGGGAGGCAGCAGUUAGGAAUCUUGGACAAUGGGCGCAAGCCUGAUCCAGCCAUGCCGCGUGAGUGAUGAAGGCCUUAGGGUUGUAAAGCUCUUUCAGCGGGGAAGAUAAUGACGGUACCCGCAGAAGAAGCCCCGGCU
rnacentral:rRNA from 1 species